rnacentral:lncRNA from 1 species
CAUAAAUAUCUUAUUACAUGUCCAUGAUCAUUACCGGUACGCACGCGGUCCUGAUGUAACCCAUCAGGCGGCAUGUUCUACAAGCCACAUUUCCCAAUUCGCAAUCAUCACAUAUAAUAAAUAUCAUUAUCUGCUGAACUCAUCCAACACAUAUCGAAAUAAAGAUUAAAGAUUUAAGAUAAAAUAACGUGCAAUUUGUGAGGGGAAAAAUAAUAACGUUUGUCUUAUUAUAACAUACUAAUAAUCA